UUAUUCACCUACACCCCUAGCCGCCCAAACCAGCCCUCUCCUUUCUCCUUCUCCUACACGAUAGAACAGCAGGCGUCAGCUUCUUCCUCCCUGGUUCCCCACGGCGGCCAGCAGGGAGCAAGCCAACAGCCAUGGCGUCCAUCCCUUCCUCCCUCCUCUGCGCAAGCCUGCUCCAGCCGCUCCCAGCAGCCAUGGCGUGGCGCCCCCCCUUGCUCCUUCCUCGCGCAGCGGCAGCCAGCGCCUGUUCAUCUUCCUCCCUGCUUGCCCCUAGCUGAACUCCCCUACAGAAGCUCCCCACGGCAGAAGGCAUGGAGGUCGGCUCGAGCACAACCUCCUUGCUCCCUUCCAUGUCCGUCCGUGGCACCUUCCCCUGCUUUUCUGGUUGGGCGCACAGGAAUCCGGCAACCCUGCACGUCCCCUCCAAUGGCGCCCUCCCUGUCUUCACAGCCGUGCAGCAGCCUGCACACUUCCCUGUCCAUGGCGUCCGAGUUCCCUGCGCCCAGUUCUUCGAUCCGAAAAAUAGCAGCUCUGCGCAGCAUCUCCCUCCCCCAAGCCCCUGCGCGCGCACAGCAGCGGAUCCCCGGCGCCCUCCCCUGCUCCUCCUCUGUUCCCCACAAAACAGCGGCAGCUCGCCCCACCUCCCCUCACUGCGCAGCCCCUCGGCGAAACGCCGCUGUUCCUGCAGCCCCGACACCUUCCCUGGCUUCCUCGCUGCUAGCGCUGCGCGCGUGCCACGUGUUCGGCGAUCUGUCCAAGUGGGGUGUUGAACAGUGAGCAGCACGCCGUCGAUGCUCGCCGUGUGUUCGCUGUUUUGCGCAGCCCAUCCGCGACGCCGUCAAAAACCGUGCUAGUGGUCGACGUCGUGCCUUGCCCGUUCGACGAAAUACCGAGCCAUGUGGACAGCCCACACGCCUAGUCACGACUCGUUCAGGUUGAUUGAUUUAUAGUUUAUAAUACGUAUGCUUUGAUUGAUGUCGGGCCGUACAUGUAUAUAUGUGGCUGCGAUGAUUCAUUUAUGUGUCACAAGGAUGGUUCGUGGAUGGUAUUAAUCGUUUGUUAAAAUACUUCGUCA